GAAUCGGGCGUUCGUAUCGGUACACGGGGUGUAUUUUACGGCGCGUUACAGUGCGGUGCAUUCGAAGACGCGCGCGUACCGAGCAUCAUUCCAGGCGGCCGCGGUCGUUUGCUUCUGUAUACACGUGCCGUGCGUUUGCCCAAUAACUUUCGGUUUCGAUUUACGGACGGAUUUGGGUAGUGAAACUUAAAAACAUUCAAAAAAAAAAUCGAGCGUUCGCGACCCGGUUAACUAAACACAAACCAAGCAUCGCGUACCAUUUUCUAAUCAGUGUAUGUGUAAGUGUAUGUGUGUUAAUAAUUCUUGUAAGUGUGAUUACGUGAAGUGUGUGUGUAGUGUAUUUUGUUUCUAGAGCACGACGAACAUUUCGUUGUGCCCAAUUGUGUUGUGCCAAACCACGAAAUAACAACCAACUAUCAACCAACCAUAACCUCAACAUCCUGAGAUAAAACACACAACACCCUAACCCCCCCCCCCCCCCCCCCCAUUUUCGAGUGUACUUACGUCUAAGGUGUGGGUGUAUGUGUGCUCCGUAGCUGAACAAGCAAAGUUUGCAAAUCUCACGCAAUCAACACGCUCAGCAACCAAACGUACGAGCAAACACAGCCGAAGCCGCUACACUUAACCACAUGCACACGCACACAACCGAGCGCGAAUGACACCGGACGCGCACAGUGACGGUCACCCGAGUACACCCGACUAUGGACGCCAUCUCGCUGAAGGGUAGCAAAACCUGGCC